UACAGAGGGGGGCAAGCGUUGUUCGGAAUUACUGGGCGUAAAGGGCGCGUAGGCGGCCUGUUAAGUCGAACGUGAAAUCCCUGGGCUCAACCCAGGAACUGCGUCCGAUACUGGCAGGCUUGAAUUCGGGAGAGGGAUGUGGAAUUCCAAGUGUAGCGGUGAAAAUGCGUAGAGAUUUGGAGGAACACCAGUGGCGAAGGCGACUUUCUGGUCUGUAACUGACACUGAGGCGCGAAAAGCGUGGGGGAGCGAACAGG
rnacentral:rRNA from 1 species